CGGCAACAGCUCAAAUUUGAAAUCUGGCGUCUUCGACGUCCGAGUUGUAAUUUGCAGAGGGCGCUUUGGCAUUGGCAGCGGUCCAAGUUCCUUGGAACAGGACGUCACAGAGGGUGAGAAUCCCGU
rnacentral:rRNA from 2 species